rnacentral:rRNA from 1 species
UAACACGCCGAAAGGUGUACUAAUACCGCAUAAGACCACGGGAUCACAUGGUUCUGAGGUAAAAGAUUUAUCGGCUUGGGGUGGGCUCGCGUCCGAUUAGGUAGUUGGUGAGGUAACGGCCCACCAAGCCGACGAUCGGUAGCCGACCUGAGAGGGUGAUCGGCCACAUUGGGACUGAGACACGGCCCAAACUCCUACGGGAGGCAGCAGUGGGGAAUAUUGGGCAAUGGAGGAAACUCUGACCCAGCAACGCCGCGUGGAGGAAGAAGGUUUUCGGAUCGUAAACUCCUGUCCUUGGAGACGAGUAGAAGACGGUAUCCAAGGAGGAAGCCCCGGCUAACUACGUGCCAGCAGCCGCGGUAAUACGUAGGGGGCAAGCGUUGUCCGGAAUAAUUGGGCGUAAAGGGCGCGUAGGCGGCUCGGUAAGUCUGGAGUGAAAGUCCUGCUUUUAAGGUGGGAAUUGCUUUGGAUACUGUCGGGCUUGAGUGCAGGAGAGGUUAGUGGAAUUCCCAGUGUAGCGGUGAAAUGCGUAGAGAUUGGGAGGAACACCAGUGGCGAAGGCGACUAACUGGACUGUAACUGACGCUGAGGCGCGAAAGUGUGGGGAGCAAACAGGAUUAGAUACCCUGGUAGUCCACACUGU